AUAAACAUCAUGAUUCUGAUUAGUUUCUAUGAGGGGCCCCCUUUUCAGGCUCUUGGAAUCGUCCUAAUCCCCCCCACCGCACCCCCACGGACCUAGGAGGACCAAUGAUUCAUACUGAUGUACGCCAUAACACGGUGUAGGAAACGUGUGAUCUUUCCAUGCAGGAUAACUUAGUGUUUUUCCUUGAAUUAUGGCACACGACCUCGCUGAUUUAGGCGCUGAGACGAACGUCGACAGAGAUGUCACCAUGAGUGACAUCCUCAAUGCCUUACCGUUUUCACGGAGACUGGGGAUUUAGGGCAGGCUAUCUAUUAUAUAUUCGCCUACACUGAGUCAGUCAAAGGCUAUAGCUCAAAGACAUCAACAGGCAACGAAGGGUGAUCCGCAAUCUCAUCGUUGGCCGCAGACCGUGGUGGUGAAUGAGCUACGGCUAAAAGUUUGUAUGAUAUGAUCUAGCCUACUGAGAAAAUCAGCAAGAUGGUGUAUAAAGGUGCGGAUUUUUUUUUCAACUUUUGUGUUAUUUUCUCAGCAGAUUCGGUGUUUGAAUCAACUGACUUUUAGUAUUGUUGCUACAUAAGACACAGUGAGUCUUUUCUCGCAGCCGAAAAUCGUGUAGUCAGUCCCGUUUCCAUUGGGCAAUGUUAUGAACCGACUCGCACUCCGGCAGGCAGCGCAACCUCCUCCAAGGACAAAUGCUCAAUUUUAACGAAGGAGGUAAAUUAUGAAUGGCUUCGCCCCCUGAUUUGGAUCAAUUCCAAAAUGUAACGGGUUCUUCCUUGGUUUAUGCCAAACCCUACGUUUAAUGAAAAUCGACCGAGUCGUUUCCUUGUAGUAAUCCUGCUGACAAACAGACAAACAAAUGGCAACGUAAACAUAACCUCUCUGGCGGAGAUAACGUUCGACACAGCUGGAUAGCUAGCAAUGCAUCAGUACUGACCUUGUGCCUAAAACGUCCUCUGCCAAAAUCCUCCUACUGGACGUAAUACCAUACAUUAGUGAAUUACAAGACGUCUCAUCACCCUUUUAGUCUACCCACCUAUACCACCCCCCCCCACACACACACACACAUACACACACACAUCCCUAUAAAAACACACACAGAAAAUCAAACAAUGGACUUUAAAACAGAUGUGAAUUUAAGAGGUUGGCCUACAUACCUUGGCCCCACAUACUUAAAUAAAAGGUAGCACUUCAAAUGACAGGGAAAGUUGCCUACCUGUGAGGUAGCCUCGGGUGAGGAAAGAGUAUGACUGUAGAAGUAAGAUGCAAUUCACAAUUCACAAACAUUUUACAAAUAAGGAAAGUAUAACUACGAUCUUGAAGGCAUUGUACUUAUACUUUUGGUUACUUGACACAAAGUCAUAGUAGGUUACUUCAAAUUAAAUAGCCUACAAAAGUCAUCCUGGUAAUCCUGUUUUCCCUUUUCUUUUCUUUUUUAAACUGAUUUUUGGUCGAUGAUAUCGUAUAGUAGGGGUGGGAAUCUCUUGGCACCUCACGAUUCGAUUCGAUUCCGAUUCAGAGGUCAACGAUUCGAUUCUAAACCGAUUCUCGAUUCUAAGCCGAUUCUCGAUUCUAAACCGAUUAUCAAUUCUAAACCGAUAAAACGAUUAUCGAUGCAUCUCAAUUUUUAAAACAUUUGAGUUUGCUAUUUAGAGUCUCAAAUCACUUCCUACUUUGUGUUUGAUAAAUCAACAGAUCUAUUUUUUUAUUAGAGAAAAAGUUUUUCCUUGUCACAAUUAUGACUUUCUAUGAACAAUGCAAUAAUCGAUGCAGCUUGCA
ensembl:lncRNA